rnacentral:lncRNA from 1 species
GGGGCGUGUUUUUUUGUUCUUCGGUAGUGAGCCAGAAGAGGUCCAUUUCUAUUUUUUUGCAUUGGGAAGAUCUUCUGGCUCUCUUCCACCUCUUCUUUUUAAAUAGGUGGUUUAGACAGCAGAAGCACAAAACAAACAUGGCGUCGUUUAGUCUAAAUGACAUUCAUAAAUUAAUGAAUGAAGAUAUACUAGAAUGUGAGCUUUGUUAUAAACGUUUUUAUGGUAUGACAGCCUUUGUAGGACAUAUCUGUAGGACGAUAAGCUGGAUGAAUAUAAGAACUACACGGACAGUAACAGUUAAGGGACAACUAUUUGAAAUUCUAGAGACGGAAUUUUGAUUCUUCUUUAGGUACAGAAAACCAUCAACAUUUUGAAGAUUACUUUCCGGCGCAUGCCUGAUUGAGGUUGCUAGUUCAUUUCAAUUUUUCUUUUAUUUAUUAAACUUUACAAUUUUA